UACGUAGGGGGCUAGCGUUGUCCGGAAUCAUUGGGCGUAAAGCGCGUGUAGGCGGUCCGGUAAGUCCGCUGUGAAAGUCAGGGGCUCAACCCUCGAAUGCCGGUGGAUACUGUCGGGCUAGAGUGCGGAAGAGGCGAGUGGAAUUCCUGGUGUAGCGGUGAAAUGCGCAGAUAUCAGGAGGAACACCAAUUGCGAAGGCAGCUCGCUGGGACGUUACUGACGCUGAGACGCGAAAGCGUGGGGAGCAAACAGG
rnacentral:rRNA from 1 species